ensembl:lncRNA
AGAAACCAACGAAGCUUCUGUCCUCUCCUGUCCUCUCAUGACUAAGAUUUUCUUCUGUUUCCUACUUCAGAAAGUGGGGGCAGUCAUGAGAGAGUAGAGAAAAGUAUGUCCCGGAGACGCUACUUUGAGUAGCAGGGACACAUAUUGCUAUAUUUUAGAAAUGCUCUUCUUACAAUGUGAGCCUACAUGAUCUGUCAACAAACUAAAAACAGACAUGAAAGGAAAGAGGAAUUAAAUUAAGGAAUUGCUAGCUUCACUCUGUGGAGGCUAUCCUUCCUGAUGAUGUCACCAUGCCACUAAUACCACCAGGAGGCUGUGAUACUGGAUUUCAUGGAAUGGAUCUGAGAAUAGAGGACAUGAUGGUUGGCUUUACCCGAAGCUGGCGUGGAAAGGAAAUAUUUUCAUCCCAACGAGGAGAAAGAAAGGUGAAAGUGCUUGAGAAUAAGACCAGCAUUCAUUUUUUUAAUUCGUCCACCAUGAAACAUUCAUUGUCACCAUCUGUCUGGAGCACGGGACCUUGUCCUCAAGGUGUUCAGAGUUCAAUGGGGAUUGGAAAAAGUAUUCUAGAACCCCAGAACUGGUCUAUGAGCCCUGUGGAAGGCAAAUGCACAAGACACUACGUGGGAAUGUCUAACAGUCCUGGAAGAUGAGAAACGAGAAGGAGGGAGCGAGGAGCAAGAAAGACUGCUCGGGGUUGAAGAAAUAUCUGAACUGGAAGGUAAAUGGAAGGGCACCAAGUGACACAGUGGAGGUGAAUAGAGAAGGCCGACAUUGCAGGUCAGCUGGGCCCUCUGUGAUUUGACCCGAGAGGAUACAAUGCUAUGAGAAGACUAUGAACUUCAGUGACAAAGGGACUUGAACUCUAUUCCAGGAAGUCAGAGAAGGAAGAUUUGCUCUAUGGAAACCGGGAUUGAAGGAGUGUAUAGGAUUAAAUGAAGGAGACUAGAAAAUGAACCCAUUGAAAGAGGCCCAUGGCAUUUCUAACAAGAGAUGGGAACAGUGAAGGACAGUGAGAGUAGACAGGGAGGAGGGAUCCUGAAAUGCAAUGGGGAUGCUACUGGGCAUGGUUUUGUUAUCAGUCUGUUGGGUUGGAAGCUGGAAGGGGGCAUAAAGUUUAUACUAUAAACAACUGAAGAGGAAGAGUUAGAAAGCUGAGCAUGUUUUGCCUUCAAGACUGGGCAGAGCUUUUAGCCCCAGCUGAAAUGAAGAAGACAGACGGGAAGAGCACAUUUGCACAGGGAAUGCCUGGGUUUUGUUUAAAUGUACAGAGAAGAAGACUGUGGGAGCAGACUGAGUGACUGGCCAAACCAUGGGUGAUGACUGACAUCAUGGGCUGGUAGGAGCCCUCCUCAGGAAGCACUUGGAGUAAGCAGAAAGGAGAUUUGAGGGCCAAUCUUUACACCAGUGUUUCUUAGACAAUGGAAUACAAACAUGUGAGGACACAUGCGCUCUGAGAUGAGGAAUCUUAAGGAACCAAGGCCUGCCAAUCAAGAGUACAGAGUCAGGGCAUAUUAGCUAGGAUGCACUUGGCUGCGUGUACCAGAAUAAAGUGGGACUGGAUGCAUGAUAAACGGCUUAC